rnacentral:rRNA from 1 species
GACGAACGCUGGCGGCGUGCUUAACACAUGCAAGUCGAACGGAAAGGCCCUGCUUUUGUGGGGUGCUCGAGUGGCGAACGGGUGAGUAACACGUGAGUAACCUGCCCUUGACUUUGGGAUAACUUCAGGAAACUGGGGCUAAUACCGGAUAGGAGCUCCUGCUGCAUGGUGGGGGUUGGAAAGUUUCGGCUGUUGGGGAUGGACUCGCGGCUUAUCAGCUUGUUGGUGGGGUAGUGGCUUACCAAGGCUUUGACGGGUAGCCGGCCUGAGAGGGUGACCGGCCACAAUGGGACUGAGAUACGGCCCAGAAUCCUACGGGAGGCAGCAGUGGGGAAUAUUGCACAAUGGGCGGAAGCCUGAUGCAGCAACGCCGCGUGCGGGAUGACGGCCUUCGGGUUGUAAACCGCUUUCGCCUGUGACGAAGCGUGAGUGACGGUAAUGGGUAAAGAAGCACCGGCUAACUACGUG